rnacentral:rRNA from 1 species
UACGUAGGUGACCAGCGUUGUCCGGAUUUACUGGGCGUAAAGAGCGCGCAGGCGGUCGUUCAAGUCGAGUGUGAAAGCCCCCGGCUCAACUGGGGAGGGUCAUUCGAUACUGAUCGACUUGAAGGCAGGAGAGGGAAGCGGAAUUCCCGGUGUAGUGGUGAAAUGCGUAGAUAUCGGGAGGAACACCAGUGGCGAAGGCGGCUUCCUGGUCUGUUCUUGACGCUGAGGCGCGAAAGCUAGGGGAGCAAACGGG